GGUGGCGGAGCAGCGCUGGCUCGUCCCGCUUCGUGUCGGGAGGCCGGAGGUGGCUGCGCUGUGCCCGGUGUGAGGAAGAAGACACAACUUCGGGGUUCAAAUAAACUAGGGUGUUUAUUAAGGGAAAAAAAAAAAAACCAAACCCAAAACAAAGGGAAGGAAAGGAUAAUGGGUGAGUGAGUAAAAAAGAAAGGAAAUAAAAAAAGUCCCGGGUCUGAGGAUUGAGGAAUCCUCUGGCUGAACCGGCGUUUUCGUCCCAACGCAAGAACUCAGCGGCACUGCAGUGAAUGCAGCUAAUCUGCACUCAAAUUUAUAUUAAAAAAAAUCUCUAAAAGAGAUGUAGACCGUGGUCUUCAGUGUCUGAAUCUGCUGCCGCUAAUCCACAGUUAAAAGGGCAGUUCUUCGACUCUCGUAGCUCCUUUUAUAAUCUCUGUCCCCACAGUUUGUUGCUGGCAGUCCCACCCCUACAGUUUCUGUUGAUUGGUGCUGGUAAAAAACCUUCUCCUCCAAGUCUGCUGUCCUUGGUGGUAACUGAGGUUUUCGGCGGGAAAGUUCUUCAUUAGUGUGCACUGUUGUUGUGGCGUCAAGCUACAAGUCCUCUGGAGCAGGCUCAAAAUUCUUUGUAAGAUGCUGCAUGCUGCUGGCGAGGGGAUUUGCUUUGAAGCCCUCGAAAGUGACAAACUUAAAAGGGAUUAUUAAACUCACAAAUAAUAUAUCAAUAGCAACAAAUAAUUGAGUAAGGGACCACAAAAAUAGGGACAAUGCUUAUGGCAAUUGACAGUCUCGUUGGCAGAACUAUCAAACAUUCAACUGUAACGCACAAAAAACCCCAACCAGUACAAUUCUACAAUGACCGAAUUCUAAACAGCAACUUCAAACAAUCCCACAUGCAAAAGCCAGUCGAGGGGUUUUAUAGAUGACACCGGGACUGUUCUUGGCUAUGCAGGACCAGACUGACAGCCCCUGGUGCGGCGAGAGAUGUCCCUCCCCGGGGCUAAGAUGGGACGGGACGGGAUGAACUUGAACGUCGCUCACAACCGAAAGCACUCUGAGAGUGAGAGACACACGGGGUCAGUAGGGGAAGAAAACACUUCUCGCACGGUUUCCCGAAGGUUAAGCCAAGCAAAUUCUGCUUUUUCUGCCAGGCCCUGCCUCUCCUGUUUCCAAACAGGGACACAAAGUGCGAUGCCAGCGCUCAGUGUCCCUGGGCUCCAACCCGCCAGGACAGGGGCUGGCAGCAAGAGAGACAAGGGACAAUCCUUGUCCUCCUCAGGAGGUUGAUCCCGAUUCACAGCUGCCCUGUGUAGGCACUCGGCAGCUCCCAGACCUUGUUACCGCCUGUCCCAGCCCAGAGCUCGUCUGCAGCAGCUGCAGAGCCAGAGGGGGCCGGAGUUCCUGGAGUCUGCACUUGUGCUGCAGAUGCUGCUGCAGCGUCCUCGAGCAGCAGGGACAGGGCAGGACUGGCCCGGCACUGCCGUCCUGUGCCUGGAGAACCGCAGGGCCGGAACCAGCCGGGGUGGGUCUCUCUUCAUGGGCCAUUAAUCUUCAGUCUUUGUCAUUGCGAAACUCUUUCUGGGUCGGAACCCUGAAAGGCUUUUUCAGCACUGUUGAUGUCUCAGGAAACCAGUGUUUUUUAUUCCAAGCAAAGAGAGCCCAGCUGUGAGCUGGAGGAGAGGGAAUCCUGCUCCACACACAGCAUAUUGUGAUUGAGUUCCCGGGUCUCCAGCAUGUCAGCAGCCAGGGUUGCACACUUGCCUCGGGAGAAAGAAGCCACUUCUCCUAAGCAGAAAGGUGUUGCUGCCGAGUGUGCAAUGGAUGAAGAUGUGGAGAAUGAGCUCUGCUGCAGCACUGGGAGUGUGAAGAAGCGCCUGAAGACUGAGAACAGAUCAGAAGCUAUGAAUGUAAGGAAGAAAACCCUACAGUUUCUGGGCCAGUGGACCAGAUCCAGUCCCAAGGUGGCCCUGGCCCUGGCUGUGCUUGUGAUCCUGGUCCUGACUUUGUUGAUGAACUUGGUUUUGCAGUCAGGGGGAAGACAAACAGAAAUUCCAGUUGUUCCUGACACUUCAUAGCUGCUGGCCUGUCCAGAUGGAUGGAUCGGGUACCGCAGGAUCUGCUACUUCCUCUCAAAGGAUCACCGCACCUGGGAUCAGGGUCAGGCUCAAUGCUCUAAGCUUGGGGCCUCCCUAGCUGUGCUCAGGGAUGAGGAAAUGGAGUUCCUCUGACCUCAGUGGGAAAGUUGAUUACUGGCUCGGGCUUCGCAGACUGGGAGAGCAGCUUCAGUGGGUGGAUGGCAGCAGCUUCAAAUCCUCGGUUCCUGUCCUGGGCAAUGGAGUGUGUGUGUACCUGGCUGAGAAUAAACUCAGGAGCAUAUUCUGCUCAAAUCCAAUGCCCUAUCUCUGCAGCAGACCCCAAACUCACUUGUAACAGGGGUUGGACAAAGCACCUUCUCCACACUUGGCAGUCACAGCUUCACCUCUUCCCUCCCAGCCCUGGGAUGCCUUUCCUCAGCUGCAGCGUCAGCCUUGCACAGACCCUUGGGGUCACCUCAGUGCCUGAUCUUGUGAACAUCUCAGUGUUUGCUCUCAGGGUCACCUUGAUAGUAGAAGGUCUUAAAAUCUUAGAAAAUUCAGGGACUUAGAAAGAAAGUUAGGUUUGGAAAGCCCUGGGAAAAGUAGGCCCUGGGAAAUGUUAGGCCUUGUGCUUGCUAAAGAUCAGGUGAAACUGCACCUGUGUAAUCAGUAGAUGAUCAUGAUACAAUUGUUAGAUGUGAUUAGAUAUAAUUAUUGUUUAAAGAACAUGAGGAACAAUGUUAGGGGGCUGAGGGGAAUCACGAGAAAUCCAUGCUUAGGUAAAAAAAAUGCUUAACAAUAGAACAAUAUAAGUUUAAUAAUCAAUAUGUAAGUUAUAUAAUGAUAGAAUAUAAAAACAUGUUCAACUCAAAACCAAGUUGGGUCAGAUUUGGGUAUGUGUACCCCUGACACCCAGAGCUCUUCAAUAAAGCAACUUCAUAUAAUCAUUCUGUGAUUAUGUGUGUUCCUGAACGCUAACAACCUCAGUGCCAGGUCUCCAGGAGAUGAACCUGCAGGAAGAGGACAUGAUGUGCAAGCUGAUGUGUGGCUGCCUGGGCUGGGGCUGGGAGUUUCUUUCUCCUUCUGGAGCCACUCCAGGACUUACCCUGUUUCUAUUGCACUGCACAUUUAUACACUAACCUUUUAUGUCUAUGUCAUGGGGUUACUUUACCUUUAAGAAAGUUAAAGUUGCUGGGGACUGCCGGGAGUCUUUUCUCAUGACCAAUUAUCGGUCAUUGCUGAGAAUUGACAGCAGUUUUAGCCAUUGAAAAGUGGAAUCAACUUGUGAACCCCACCUUAAAGUGUACAACCAGAACUCUGUGGUUCUCUUUGUUUUCUGGCUGUGAAAGGUAGCAGAGCUUCGGCCUCUCGGUCUCUGCGCGGCCACGUGGCCGGGCGGGGGCCGGGCUGGGCCUGCCGUUCUGCCAGCCGGGAGAUGGGGCCUGCGGGAGCUUGCUCUGAGCCAAGCUAGGCCAGGCCGGUUCCUGGCUUGGCUGCAGGUUUUGCCGUGAUGGAAUUUACCAGAAAACUGUCGAGUAAAGAAGGAGAAGAGCUCUAAGCCUGCUGCAAGCAGAGACGGUGACUAUGCUCUCCAGAGCAGCUAUGAGGAACUUUUCAUCGCAGACAGCUCCAGCUCCUGUUCAGCAGAGAUCACCGAACCAUCUACAAAAGCUUGGGCAAGAUUUUAACUCUUUCUUAUUCAGAUGAGACUUGCGGAUUAAUCUUUUUAUCCAGAGAGAGAAAAGGAGAGUGAUCAACAUGAAAAGAGACUUUAUAAACUACUAGUGGCAAG